CCACAAAAAGGAAGAGGAAGAGGAGCAGAUCAGUGUGGCAGAGGUAGGAUCAUAGAAUGGUUUGAGUUGGAAGGGACCUUAAAGAUCAUCUAAUUCCAACCCCCCUGCCAUGUGUAGGGACACCUCCCACUGGCUCAGGCUGCCCAAGGCUCAUCCAACCUGGCCUUGAACACCUCCAGGGAUGGGGCAGCCACAGCUUCCCUGGGCAACCUGUGUCAGUGCCUCACCACUCUCAUGGUGAAGAAAUUCUUCCUAAUAUCUAGGCUAAAUCUGCCCCUCUCCAACUUACAGCCAUUCCCCACAGUCCUACCACUACGUGACAGGAUGAAGCAGAUGUUCCAAGCAGCAAGGCAUAGCAUGCGUUGUGGAGUUACAGGUCCAUGGAGGCAGCUGCAGACUCAGUGGGAGGAUUGGAAUGUGAGUGCAAACCUGAACUGGGAGGUGCUGAUGAUAGGGGAUAUAAAUGCUGUCUCCUGCUCCCUUCCCUGGGUAAGUCCUGCAUGUGCCAGUGAAGUCCAACUUGUCACUUCCAUCCUCUGACACGCAACACCCACUGCUUUACCAGUGUACAUAUGUAUUCAUUACAAUCUGGGGCACUAAGAGAUGAUGGCUGUGUGAGGUUAAACUUCCAAAUACAGUACAUAUCAUUUUCUGGAAAAAAAAACACUGAAAUUCUGUGAUGGCUUCUAUAAUUAAGAAUUCCUUGUUUUUGAGGUUCACGAAGUACCUUCCCAAAGCGAAAGGGCUUUAUUUGCAGGUCAUCCACAGUGGAAACCUGCUUUAGAGGAGAAAGAAGCGGUGUGAAUCAGAGAGAUGACUCACGCUAAACUGCAGUUCAGCUCUUUUUCCUUUUCAAUCUCCUUUAUGGAUUUUAAGAGGUAUUUCUGCCUGUGAGUAACAAAAGGCGGGGGGUGGUGGUGGUUGUCAUUUAGCAUUGUCUUCUGCUCUUGGGCAGAGCUGUUAUUUGGUUUUUUUUGGGAUGAGAAGGGGCAGUUCUUCUUGGCUUUGGGGAAGGAAAAUGGACAAAGAUGAAACUAGAAUGGAGUUCUUGGGGAUGGGGGCUACCAAACCAGUGUAUCCUCUGGUUCAGUGGGGAAGGCAGGACUGAGUGCAGAGGGGUAUUGCUCUAUCUGAAAGAUGAUGUUCUGGCAAUUAAAAUUCUUUCCUAGUGGGAGAUUUGAUGUUCAGAGUUGGUGAGGAUUGUUUCGCAAUGACAAACAGCUUCUUGCGAUUGGUUUUCCUUUACGUGCAGCAGGGCAAAGUGUGGCACGUUAGAUGUGAGUCCUAACAAAUACAGCCCGCUGUUUCUCGUAGGUGUUUGCUCAGCUGUUUAAGACGCUACUUCUAAACAUCCAUGCCCAAGUGAAGUGUCUUGAGGGGCUGCUGACCAAAGAAGGCAAAUCAUCCUUUCUUGAACCUCUCCUGCUCACAGGCUGUACAAAACCAAAGAGGCAGCUGUGGAGCUGAUGUUUUUGUGGGUCAUUCUUUGGUUUUGCAUGCCUUGAGGAAGACUGGAAAAACUACGUCCCAUUCCCACAUUACUGAGUCUCCUGAGCCAUCAGGCUGUGUGGGUCCCUGUCUGCGGAGCCAUGACCCUUGUGCUCCGAGAGAGAUGUCAGACGCAGAGCACUUGAUGAAAUGCAGAGUGUGAAGGGGCACAGUGAACCUUAGCUCAGGGGUGGCUGGGGUGGGAUGGUUCCCAUCUCCCUGCCACUGCGGCUGCAUGAUCUCCCUCUUGUACAGUGUUUGGGGAAAGCCUUCCUCACCUGUGCGUGCUGCGGCUUCUCUGCUAGCAUGCAAACCACCCAUGCCACCCUUCAGUUUGUGUGGGGUUUUGGAUUGCGCCCCCAUCAGCCCCAGCUCCACCACCUCCCUGUUAAUUCAACCCCAUCCCUUCCCAAGCUCUGUGUUUGGAGGGAGGGUACUGAGUAAACACGGCUCAGUGCAAUAAACCCUCAGCUGUUGCCCUUCUGCGCCGAUGGUGUGAUAAGCCGGGUGCGGGUAGCUUAGCAACUGGAUAACGUGGGGACAGAGGCUGGCUCUGCGUGGGGCCACUGGCAGGGGGUCUCUGAUGGAAGUGGGAUAAGGGCUGAGCCAGGUUUCAGGACCAGGGGCUCAAAGCUCCUGCUUGUGUAUUGGUCCUAAAGAGAGGAAAGGCUGCAUAAAGCCAGAACUGUUGCUUGCCUGGAGCAGAGGGACAUGGACGCAGGGAGCUGGAUGCUGAGCCGUCCUCUCCCAGGCGAAGUGAGAAAUCGGGCUGCUUGGAAGAGACAUGGUUUAAUUGUUCUCUGAACCCUUUUCUGUGUCAUGACUACAUGGGAGGACGGGCUCCAGGGCUUUUUCCAGGCCCAGCUCCUGUCUGAGAGCCCAGCGCCAGCAGGAGGCAUGGCCAGGCUGAGCUUUGGCCAACGGACCAGACAAAAGGCAGCUCCUGCGGCUGUGUCUUGUGGUGGUGAACCCUCUACCUGGGCGCUCUACCUCAAGCCCUCCACACGCUCCCUUUCCUGUUCCUCUCCACCCCAGCACAUUGCCCAGCCUGCUGUUUCUGUUAAUGCUUUCAUGGGCACUUACUCCUUUCAAACACACUCUUCUCAUUAGGGAAAUUUAAUUAUUUCGUUUUCAUUUGCCGGCUUUCAACUCCCAAGGCAUUGUUUUUCUUAUUUUUAUUUUUUUUUUUGUUCCAGCAGGAAAUAAAGCAUAUGCAUUGUGCAACCGAGGCAAAAGAACCAGCGCGGGAAACUGGGAGAACUGGAGGCUUUCUGGAGGUGGAACAACCCUCUCUGCUCAAACUAACAUCUUCCCUUUCAAGGGUGGCUUGUCCCCUAGGAGGAGAUAAAAUGACCCCUUAAGUUGGACCCAUCUCCUCGCGGAGCAUGUUGCAGACAGACGCGAAGAAGUCUUGCAACAGGUCAAAGCAGCAGCCUGUCAGGAAAACAGAUAUGACUUGGGAAUAGAGAAACUUUCUCUUCCUGCAGAUGCACUGCACUCGCCAGCCAGAUUUUCAAAAGAGCCCAGUUUGCUGACAUAAAUGGGGUUGCUGAUGUGCCGAAGGAGAAGGAAGUGCCGGAGAACAUAUUCCUAACUGGGUCCAAGUCUUUCCCAUUUUAUCUUUCCCUUCCAUAUGUUUCCUCUGUAAUGAGAGGAAUUAUUUAUCAUUAAAGUGAUAUAUAAUUUAAAAAUUAAAGUUAAAAUUAAUGAAUGCUUAAAUUAAUUUACUGACAAAAAUAAAUGUCUGUCCUUCAGAUUCCAUAAUUUUAAUUGGAGUGGGUUACAGCUUAAUUAACAUGUAUUGACUGUAGUCCUGGUCGCGUCUAUAGGUGGGUGGACUGUGUAGCAAUGCUGAGAGAAAUCCUCCUUGCAGAUGAAGGUGCGUUAAGAUUUACUGAUAAUGUUUUGAAUAAUUGUGUUAUGAAGAGACAGAAAAGUCUUUGGUCUCAAGCUGUUUUCUCCUGAAAGCUUAAGACAAAAUAUGUUGAUUAAAAUUGGGGCUAAGAAUUGGCACGGCUACUUUAUAGAUGGGAAGAGAAUUCUGCUCCAAACAUAUUAAUUAUCUGAAUCAUUAAUUAGAUGCAUGAAGAAUACAGAAAAUUGGAAGGAAUUUGGAGCAAAUAAAGAAGUUGAUGCAACUGGAAAUUUUUGGGAAAAAAAGGCAAUUGGCACUUGGCUGAACACUGGCGAUGCCCCUGGACUUUGCACCACGGCAGGACCCAGCGAUGAGUUGCAGCUCCCUCCCCUUUUCCCUCCAUUGGUUUCCAUGUCUGUGCUGGGCUCUGAGAGCUCCUGAGGGUGGCAUGAGCUGGAGGUUAGCCAAAGUCAGCCUUUGGCAGGGCCGUUCGUAGGAUGGUGAGCCAGCAUAGCUCAGGGCCGACUGCUGGCAAUCGACUCUUGGAUGUGUGCCUUCAGCACUGUGCUGUCUGCAAGGGAGAAACGCUGUGCUUUACUUUGCAUGUGGCUUAAGGAGAUGGGUGGGCACGAGAGAUGCCUGGAGGUAGUUUGGCUGGUUUAAAAAAACCAAGAAGGUGAAGCUGGCCAGAGUUAAAUAAAAUAAUUACUUAAUUGGGGGGACUGCUGUUCCCCUGCAACGUUGAUCCCCAGAAGUGCCAGGAUUAGCAAGUGGCCGAACGCAUCAGGAGGUGACCUUGAUGAGCUGUAAGAUCCCUCUUAACGGGUCUGGACUGCAUGGGGAAGCAGGCGGCAUGCCCAUGAUUCAGGUUUUAUAACAGUCACUGCAAGACCUGGUUGACGAGUCUCCACUCAAGAGGUGAAGCAUCCUGACUCUUUUUUUCUUGCUUUGGAUAGCCGCCACUGGUUUUGCUCUGGGGAAGAGAAGGAGAGCGCUGGGUACGGUGGCUACAUUUGAAGAUGUGGUUCAGGCUAUGCCCCUUCUCUCCAAGGCGUAGCUUAAACUUGGCUUUCAGCUCAGCAUGAUGUGAUCAGAGAUGACAUUGCAUCGUUCUUUGGACAGGCACUUCUCUCCUGGAUGAAUAUAAAUUGGAAGAUCCCUGAUCUGUGGAGAAAAAUCUGCUUGGCCUGGUUUGACUUGUGCCAAAGCUGAGCCUGUCUUCAAGACAGAGCUGCCACCUCCCCACCUUCUGUCACUGUCGUCUAAAUGAAUUUACAAGGAAAAGAAAACAGUUCUCGCUAAUGUUCUCACACAAACGAAACAUAUAGCCAGAGAGACAAAAAGAAAAUAAUUGAUUGUGAAAGCAAACUCCCUCUGAGACAGUCUGAGCAUUAUCAGGAACUGCCUGGGAGAGGAACUGGGGGGAAAGAGAGAGGGAAGGAGGAGAACAGAGCUGACUGGAACAACAAAUGUAGCAUUUGUGAUAAUUAUCCACAUUUUAAUCCCCAUUUCCAACCAAGCAUUCACUUCCUUUAAUUAGUUCUUGAUUAGAAGGAGAUUAUCUAAUAAAUUGUACAAAUAAAGAGUAGGUUAUUUUUGCAGUGUUCCUGCACACAAAGUUCUGAAUGGAUGGGGACUCAGGGACGGGGUUUGAGACGGGCGAGAGCACGGAAAACCUUGCUUUCCAUUUCCCUUGUUCCCUUGCCUGCAAAUAUUGGCCGUCGCUGGCAUUAGCAAUGCGGCCAGUGAAGUAAAUCCGUAAUUAAACUGAAUUAGCAUGUACUUGGAAGUUUUACAUGCACAGACACAAAGAAGGUUCCUGCUUGGAGCAUUUCCAGUAUAAUUUGCAGGG